GACGAACGCUGGCGGCGUGCUUAACACAUGCAAGUCGAACGGAAAGGCCCUGCUUUUGUGGGGUGCUCGAGUGGCGAACGGGUGAGUAACACGUGAGUAACCUGCCCUUGACUUUGGGAUAACUUCAGGAAACUGGGGCUAAUACCGGAUAGGAUCUCCUGCUGCAUGGUGGGGGUUGGAAAGUUUCGGCGGUUGGGGAUGGACUCGCGGCUUAUCAGCUUGUUGGUGGGGUAGUGGCUUACCAAGGCUUUGACGGGUAGCCGGCCUGAGAGGGUGACCGGGCACAAUGGGACUGAGAUACGGACCAGACUCGUACGGGAGGCAGCAGUGGGGAAUAUUGCACAAUGGGCGGAAGCCUGAUGCAGCAACGCCGCGUGCGGGAUGACGGCCUUCGGGUUGUAAACCGCUUUCGCCUGUGACGAAGCGUGAGUGACGGUAAUGGGUAAAGAAGCACCGGCUAACUACGUG
rnacentral:rRNA from 1 species